GGUUAAGCGACUAAGCGUACACGGUGGAUGCCCUGGCAGUCAGAGGCGAUGAAGGACGUGCUAAUCUGCGAUAAGCGUCGGUAAGGUGAUAUGAACCGUUAUAACCGGCGAUUUCCGAAUGGGGAAACCCAGUGUGAUUCGUCACACUAUCAUUACGUGAAUACAUAGCGUAAUGAAGCGAACCGGGGGAACUGAAACAUCUAAGUACCCCGAGGAAAAGAAAUCAACCGAGAUUCCCCCAGUAGCGGCGAGCGAACGGGGAGCAGCCCAGAGUCUGAAUCAGCAUGUGUGUUAGUGGAAGCGUCUGGAAAGUCGCACGAUACAGGGUGAAAGUCCCGUACACAAAAGUGCAUGUGUUGUGAACUCGAAGAGUAGGGCGGGACACGUGGUAUCCUGUCUGAAUAUGGGGGGACCAUCCUCCAAGGCUAAAUACUCCUGACUGACCGAUAGUGAACCAGUACCGUGAGGGAAAGGCGAAAAGAACCCCGGCGAGGGGAGUGAAAAAGAACCUGAAACCGUGUACGUACAAGCAGUGGGAGCACCCUUUGUGGUGUGACUGCGUACCUUUUGUAUAAUGGGUCAGCGACUUAUAUUCUGUAGCAAGGUUAACCGAAUAGGGGAGCCGAAGGGAAACCGAGUCUUAACUGGGCGUUAAGUUGCAGGGUAUAGACCCGAAACCCGGUGAUCUAGCCAUGGGCAGGUUGAAGGUUGGGUAACACUAACUGGAGGACCGAACCGACUAAUGUUGAAAAAUUAGCGGAUGACUUGUGGCUGGGGGUGAAAGGCCAAUCAAACCGGGAGAUAGCUGGUUCUCCCCGAAAGCUAUUUAGGUAGCGCCUCGUGAAUUCAUCUUCGGGGGUAGAGCACUGUUUCGGCUAGGGGGUCAUCCCGACUUACCAACCCGAUGCAAACUGCGAAUACCGAAGAAUGUUAUCACGGGAGACACACGGCGGGUGCUAACGUCCGUCGUGAAGAGGGAAACAACCCAGACCGCCAGCUAAGGUCCCAAAGUCAUGGUUAAGUGGGAAACGAUGUGGGAAGGCACAGACAGCCAGGAUGUUGGCUUAGAAGCAGCCAUCAUUUAAAGAAAGCGUAAUAGCUCACUGGUCGAGUCGGCCUGCGCGGAAGAUGUAACGGGGCUAAACCAUGCACCGAAGCUGCGGCAGCGACACUAUGUGUUGUUGGGUAGGGGAGCGUUCUGUAAGCCGUUGAAGGUGUAUCGUGAGGUAUGCUGGAGGUAUCAGAAGUGCGAAUGCUGACAUAAGUAACGAUAAUGCGGGUGAAAAACCCGCACGCCGGAAGACCAAGGGUUCCUGUCCAACGUUAAUCGGGGCAGGGUGAGUCGACCCCUAAGGCGAGGCCGAAAGGCGUAGUCGAUGGGAAACAGGUUAAUAUUCCUGUACUUGGUGUUACUGCGAAGGGGGGACGGAGAAGGCUAUGUUAGCCGGGCGACGGUUGUCCCGGUUUAAGCAUGUAGGCGGAGGUUCCAGGUAAAUCCGGUACCUUAUUAACGCUGAGGUGUGAUGACGAGGCACUACGGUGCUGAAGUAACAAAUGCCCUGCUUCCAGGAAAAGCCUCUAAGCAUCAGGUAACACGAAAUCGUACCCCAAACCGACACAGGUGGUCAGGUAGAGAAUACCA
rnacentral:rRNA from 1 species